AACGAACGCUGGCGGCAGGCUUAACACAUGCAAGUCGAACGCAUCGCAAGAUGAGUGGCAGACGGGUGAGUAACGCGUGGGAACAUACCCUUUUCUACGGAAUAGCUCUGGGAAACUGGAAUUAAUACCGUAUACGCCCUACGGGGGAAAGAUUUAUCGGGGAAGGAUUGGCCCGCGUUGGAUUAGCUAGUUGGUGGGGUAAAGGCCUACCAAGGCGACGAUCCAUAGCUGGUCUGAGAGGAUGAACAGCCACAUUGGGACUGAGACACGGCCCAGACUCCUACGGGAGGCAGCAGUGGGGAAUAUUGGACAAUGGGCGCAAGCCUGAUCCAGCCAUGCCGCGUGAGUGAUGAAGGCCUUAGGGUUGUAAAGCUCUUUCACCGAUGAAGAUAAUGACGGUAGUCGGAGAAGAAGCCCCGGCUAACUUCGUGCCAGCCGCCGCGGUAACAC
rnacentral:rRNA from 1 species